UCUUCGGGAAUGGAUUAGUGUUCGAACGGGUGAGGAACACGUGAGGAAUCUGCCCAUCAUUUGGGAUAACACCGGGAAACCGGUGCUAAUACCGAAUACUCCGUCUUGGCGGCAUCGCUAAGCCGGGAAAGACAUUUCGAUGGAGGAUGAUCUCGCGGCCUAUCAGCUAGUUGGUGAGGUAACGGCUCACCAAGGCAACGACGGGUAGCCGGCCUGAGAGGGCGACCGGCCACACUGGGACUGAGACACGGCCCAGACUCCUACGGGAGGCAGCAGUAGGGAAUAUUGGGCAAUGGGCGCAAGCCUGACCCAGCGACGCCGCGUGAGGGAUGAAGGUCUUCGGAUUGUAAACCUCUUUCAGUAGGGAAGAAGCGAAAGUGACGGUACCUAAAGAAGAAGCACCGGCUAACUAUGUGCCAGCAGCCGCGGUAAUACAUAGGGUGCAAGCGUUGUCCGGAAUUAUUGGGCGUAAAGAGCUCGUAGGUCGUUUGUCGCGUCGAUUGUGAAAAUCUGAGGCUCAACCUCAGACCUGCAGUCGAUACGGGCAAACUAGAGUGUGGUAGGGGAGACUGGAAUUCCUGGUGUAGCGGUGGAAUGCGCAGAUAUCAGGAGGAACACCAAUGGCGAAGGCAGGUCUCUGGGCCAUAACUGACACUGAGGAGCGAAAGUGCGGGGAGCGAACAGGAUUAGAUACCCUGGUAGUCCGCACCGUAAACGGUGGGCACUAGUUGUGGGAACCUUCCACGGUUUCCGCGACGCAGCAAACGCAUUAAGUGCCCCGCCUGGGGAGUACGAUCGCAAGAUUAAAACUCAAAGGAAUUGACGGGGCCCCGCACAAGCAGCGGAGCAUGCGGCUUAAUUCGACGCAACGCGAAGAACCUUACCAAGGCUUGACAUAUAGCGAAAAGUGGCAGAGAUGUCAUGUCCGCAAGGGCGCUAUACAGGUGGUGCAUGGUUGUCGUCAGCUCGUGUCGUGAGAUGUUGGGUUAAGUCCCGCAACGAGCGCAACCCUCGUUCUGUGUUACCAGCAUUUAGUUGGGGACUCACAGGAGACUGCCGGGGUCAACUCGGAGGAAGGUGGGGAUGACGUCAAAUCAUCAUGCCCCUUAUGUCUUGGGCUGCACGCAUGCUACAAUGGCCGGUACAAAGUGCUGCGAAAUCGUAAGAUUUAGCGAAUCACAUAAAGCCGUCUCAGUUCGGAUUGAGGUCUGCAACUCGACCUCAUGAAGUCG
rnacentral:rRNA from 1 species